rnacentral:rRNA from 1 species
GAUGAACGCUGGCGGCGUGCCUAAUACAUGCAAGUCGAGCGAACAGACGAGGAGCUUGCUCCUCUGACGUUAGCGGCGGACGGGCGAGUAACACGUGGAUAACCUACCUAUAAGACUGGGAUAACUUCGGGAAACCGGAGCUAAUACCGGAUAAUAUAUUGAACCGCAUGGUUCAAUAGUGAAAGACGGUUUUGCUGUCACUUAUAGAUGGAUCCGCGCCGCAUUAGCUAGUUGGUAAGGUAACGGCUUACCAAGGCAACGAUGCGUAGCCGACCUGAGAGGGUGAUCGGCCACACUGGAACUGAGACACGGUCCAGACUCCUACGGGAGGCAGCAGUAGGGAAUCUUCCGCAAUGGGCGAAAGCCUGACGGAGCAACGCGGCGUGAGUGAUGAAGGUCUUCGGAUCGUAAAACUCUGUUAUUAGGGAAGAACAAAUGUGUAAGUAACUAUGCACGUCUUGACGGUACCUAAUCAGAAAGCCACGGCUAACUACGUG